CAACACAAGCCUUCAGAAUAGCAAGUAGUUCAGGGCAGUUAGCCAGAAAACUAUCUGCUUUCUAGUAGUAGUAGUACCACUUCCCACUGUAAUAAAGCCUGUAUAAUCAAGGCAUUUGUAACAUAAGACUGGGAAGGUAGUAAGGAAGUAAAAGAGCGUUCGGUGUCUAUUCUCAAGGAUCACAACGCAAAAUGUGAGUCUAGGAUCAUUGAAAUUUGGGAAGAAGCUUUGGCAGAAAUAGAGAAACGAAAGGCUAACGAAUUUGCAACAAUUGAAGAAAUGUGGGCUGAAUCGAAGAAACAAAUUGCAGCAUUGCGAGACAGAAUGAUGGCGCAAAUGAAGUCCCUUAUGGCAGAAAUGAAGUCCCUUACUGAUGGCAUGGAGAGAACGUGGAGGGACAAGAUGUCCAUGGUUAACGCUAGCUUGACAUCAAUGAAGGAGCAGAUGAAGAAAAUGUCUCGAGAAGAGAACACGAUGGCAGCAGAUGUGGUAGAAUUCAUGGAGCGGAGCUUCCCUGAACUGUCACAAAUUUCCUGCUCGCCAUUUUCUGCUACCGCUUCUGCUUCUACUGCUGCUCCUCCUGAUGUGGAUUCUGAGAAUGCACUGGGGCACCUUAAUCACCUUCUGCUGAAACCCAUUCCAGACCACCUGGACGGUCUGCUAGAUGUGAAGAGGAAGAGGCAUCGAGAGACCUGAUAGAACUCAUGGAGCGGGAUUGUCAUUCAACCUUCUUCUUUUUUCAUUCCCCAAACCCUAUUGAGAUUGAGAACACCGAUGGAUGGUUGUAAUGCAUGUACCCAAACCGCAUAUGUUUGUUAUUCUUACCGUACUAUAUACAUCUUCUGUAUUCCUGCUAAA